AGUGAACGCUGGCGGCGUGCUUAACACAUGCAAGUCGAACGAGAACGGAUUAUAGCUUGCUAUAAUUGUCAGCUAAGUGGCGCACGGGUGAGUAAUGUAUAGGUAAUAUGCCUUUUACUAAGGAAUAACAAAUGGAAACGUUUGCUAAUACCUUAUACUCCUUAUUAACCUAAGUUAAUAAGGGAAAGAUUUAUUGGUAAGAGAUUAGCCUGUAUUGUAUCAGUUAGUUGGUGGGGUAAUGGCUUACCAAGACUAUGGCACAUAACUGGUUUGAGAGGAUGAUCAGUCACACUGGAACUGAGACACGGUCCAGACUCCUACGGGAGGCAGCAGUGGGGAAUAUUGCACAAUGGACGGAAGUCUGAUGCAGCGACGCCGCGUGGAGGAUGACACAUUUCGGUGCGUAAACUCCUUUUAUAUGAGAAGAUAAUGACGGUAUUAUAUGAAUAAGCACCGGCUAACUCCGUGCCAGCAGCCGCUGUAACAC
rnacentral:rRNA from 1 species